GUGUUUGCUUUGGCAGCACACAUACUAAAAAUAAGAACAAUACAGAGAAGAUUAGCAUGGUCCCUUUACAAAAAUGACAUGCAAAUUUAGUAAGUGUUCCAUAUUUUU